AUAUAUAUCGAUGGUGCAUUAUUCUAGUCAUACAAACUUUAUGAGGGUGGGGCUAAAAAUCCACUAAAGGGCACAUCGUUGAAGUUUCUUGUUUGCGCGCGAAAUGCCAGUUUUGUGUGUAUUCAGGGAGUAAAGAGACUAGGGGAGUAUGUAAUGGCAUACAUAGGAUCCCUAGUUUCGCGGAGGCUUAAAAAAAUUUUAAGUAAAACCUAUGUUGCGUGCCAAGACACAAGAUACAUAGAGUAGCCUGUCUUGAGUGAGUGUAUUGGAAUUAAUUUUGCAUAAGUAAAGUUGAUUUUGGCCAAGUUAAUUUUACUUUUAGAUUAUGAAAUUGCAUUUGCAAAAAAGACUAGUAAAGUGAUAAAUGUAUGUUAAGGAAAACUUCUAGAAUGUUUGCUUAAAUAAAAUAGCAUAGAAGUCUAGGGAUUAAGGUACAGAUUUAAGUGGCGAUCUGGUGUCGACCCAAAAGGGGGAGAUAUUCUUCUUAAUCGGAAACGGCUAUAGCAGUAAUGUUAAGCGAAGAAUAGAGAAAUUCAACUAGACCUAAACUGUAAAAUUUACUUAGACUUUUACCAUCUAAGCAAUAA
rnacentral:sRNA from 1 species